GCCCUCCCCCACCGUCGCUGCCGACUGGCCCCACCGCGCGAGGCCCGGCCCCGAGCUGCGGCCUCCCGAAAUGGAGGCGCUACGAGGCGGGGGCCGGGCCGGCAGCGCCCCGGAGCGGGCGAAGGGGGGUGCGGACGUUCAGCGCCGAGGCUUCCGCGCACGUCGUCCCCUGGCAGCAGGGCGGGGGGAGCGUACCCUCAGCUCCCUCUCCCCUCCACCCUCACGGCGUGUGUACGGUGCUGGCAGUCAGUUCUGGAGUCGGUUUCAGUGGCCGUGAGGCUGCCCGUAUUCUUGUACAAAACAGUCUCUGCAGAUCCCAGGAGAAGCUCGCUUCACAUAGUACAAAACCCAACCCCUCUCACGCACAGCAGAACGCGCUGAUUUCCCCCUACAGAAUAAAUCAGCUCUAUGUACGAGCCCGUGCCUGAUGAGAUCACAUCACACGACUCUCCGUCACCAUGUGAGCAGAUCUGAGUCAUAUCUGGAAGACUGCUGCACACAGUCUUCUCUCAUCCUGUUUCAUUUAAAUGGACAUACUGGGUGUUAGAGAUCCCCUGGAGACUGCGCUCAACGUGAUUCACCAGAAGUGUGUUAAAGGAUUCUGCAGAAGGCUUCAGUACCUUUAGUAUUCAGAAGGCAAAGCCCGCUCAAAACCACUGCUCGGAUAAAGGUGAACUUACAGUCUGCCAACUUGGACUGACUAGAUCAAUCCCAGAGGAACAGCAGAAGAGGCAAAAGAUCAACUUUUUACCAUGACACUUGUUAACUUUGCACUUCUGAGAGGUGUUUGAGGCCAGACGCUUUAGUGUUAGAAACUUCUAACUGCUAUUUUGACUUUUUCCUUACCUAAAGCCAAGAGAUUGGCCUGGGACCACACAAUUAUAAAGGCCACUGGCAGCUUACAACUGAGUUUCACAUGCGAUAGUUAGAACUGAAACCCAGUGAAAAGCAACAUGUGGAAAUCAAGCAUUGCAAUUAAGCCAAGUACAAGGUACAACCAACCCCUGUGCGCUGGAGCCAGGCCACCAGGAAAGGCCUCACACACAUGCACCACAGAUGAGAAACUGCUGCCAGCCCUCUGCCAUCAUCCUGCUCAGUAAAACAGCUUUAGGUUAUGUCAGUUCUAGUGAAAUUCUAGUCUUGCAGCUGCCUCACAUCUAACUUAACCAGUGCUGUUAGCACAGUGGAAAGCAAGGAAAUACAGUCACAGGAGGGUGCUCAUAUUAAUUAUUUACAGAGCUGCGAAUUGCACCUACAGCACCAGGAGAGAACUGCAAAAGAAAACUAGCUGGCAGAAACAACCAAAUUAUAUAGUAAUUUAUGUGGAAAGAUCUGAUAUGGGAUUUAAUCCAGCCAGAAUACAUUCAGACAUAAUUUAUCUGGACCAAUUUGUUUCAGCAUAAGAAGAAAUGAGUGUAUUCAUACAAUUAAUACCCCCACAUAGCUGGUUACAGAAGCUGUUGGCCCUACCCAAGACAGCUGUUGCUUGUUGUAAUUAACACUGCUUGAAAGAGCUACAGCCAUGAUGAAAGCUACCUUUCUAUAUAAACACAUAAAGUCCAAGGAUAGGUGGAGUUUUUAGCACAACUAAAGCACUAUCCCUUUCACAGCUGCAAGAACAGUAUCGAUAUGGAGCAAACAUGUCCCAGUCUUACCUGCUCCCAUUCUCCCUGAGAAGAAGGACUGCAACUCGCAAGAAGCAGCAGCAAGCACACGAGAUUAGAAGAAAGGAUUCAUGUCUACGGAGAAGAGGAGAAAAUGCAAGUCAUACCACUGGUAAAACUCUGCUUCCAUGAAAUAAGUUAUCACCUCUGGGAAUCAGAUUCAAGAUAGUAAGUGCCACGCCAAAUGGCUGAAAGCCACAUAAAUAUGAAGUUUUAUAAACAGAACAACAGUCCCAACUACAAAAACUCACAGAAAUAAUUGAAGCCGUCUGUCUCGCUUUUGAGGAGCAUAUUUGAAAACACACUGGUUCUCACUGAAAUUGUGUAGUACCAGGCACCCCUGGAGUGCAGCUUGGUACUACACAAUCAUGCAUGGCUGUUUAGAGCUAAUGAUAGGUAGGCAAAGAUCUUGAAGUUGCGAAUGCAAGUGACUCAAAUGCUGGUAUUUAUAGCCUGAAACAUUUCAAGCCUGAAAUUCUGUAUAAUAAACAGUGACAAAUCACAUUUUAAAAAUCUUGUCUAUAAUAAAAUACAUUUUUCAGCAGUCAUCUGUAUAUCAACUGCACAGCUGUUUAUUAGAAGCUGUACUUAGCAAAUUUCAGGUCUGCAUUAACACAUCUCUGCAGCUGCAAUUUCAGAGCAGCCUAAGCCGGCAUAGUUGACUGCAGAAGUCCUCUCUUGACUUUCAAGGCUUGUCUAAUGGCAUACUGGGCUAUGUUAGUUCUUUGAGCCCACAGAAGACCAGUCUGACAACAAAAAUGGACAGCCUUCUGUCAGCUUAGCAAACUGAAAUACUUAACUAUAGAACAGAGUCAAGGAAUACCAGAACCAACUAAGGAAAGAGAGCGGGAAACAGCACCCAGCACUGAGAUGACUUCAGGCUGCUGGGGAAUUUCACCUUCAAUCAGCAAAAGUACUCAAUAAAUUAGAGGUAGUUUAUUCCUCACUUCACUGAA